GGUCAUGGUCGAGAUAUGAAAUUGGAACGGUACAUAGAAGAUCAACACAAGCCUUGCAUGAGGAUGACACGCACAAAUCGAGAAAUGAUCCUGAUGACG
rfam:Capsicum annuum cultivar Zunla-1 chromosome 10, whole genome shotgun sequence